rnacentral:rRNA from 1 species
AUGAACGCUGGCCACGUGCCUAAUACUUGCAAGUCGAGCGAACAGACGAGGAGCUUGCUCCUCUGACGUUAGCGGCGGACGGGUGAGUAACACGUGGAUAACCUACCUAUAAGUCUGGGAUAACUUCGGGAAACCGGACCUAAUACCGGAUAAUAUAUUGAACCGCAUGGUUCAAUAGUGAAAGAUGGUUUUGCUGUCACUCAUAGAUGGAUCCGCGCCGCAUUAGCUAGUUGGUGAGGUAACGGCUUACCAAGGCAACGAUGCGUAGACGACCUGAGAGGGUGAUCGGCCACACUAGAACUGAGACACGGUCCAGACUCCUACGGGACGCAGCAGUAGGGAAUCUUCCGCAAUGGGCGAAAGCUUGACGGAGCAACGCCACGUGAGUGAUGGAAGUCUUCGGAUCGUAAGACUCUGUUAUUAGGGAAGAACAAAUGUGUAAGUAACUAUGCACGUCUUGACGGUACCUAAUCAGAAAGCCACGGCUAACUACGUG